rnacentral:rRNA from 1 species
CCUACGGGAGGCAGCAGUGGGGAAUAUUGCACAAUGGGGGAAACCCUGAUGCAGCGACGCCGCGUGAGUGAAGAAGUAAUUCGUUAUGUAAAGCGCUAUCAGCAGGGAAGAAAAUGACGGUACCUGAGUAAGAAGCCCCGGCUAACUACGUGCCAGCAGCCGCGGUAAGACGUAGGGGGCAAACGUUAUCCGGAUUUACUGGGUGUAAAGGGAGCGUAGACGGCAGUGCAAGUCUGGAGUGAAAGGCGGGGGCUCAACCCCCGGACUGCUCUGGAAACUGUACGGCUGGAGUGAAGGAGAGGUAAGUGGAAUUCCAAGUGUAGCGGUGAAAUGCGUAGAUAUUAGGAGGAACACCAGUGGCGAAGGCGGCUUACUGGACUGUAACUGACGUUGAGGCUCGAAAGCGUGGGGAGCAAACAGGAUUAGAUACCCGGGUAGUC